GCGCGCAGGGGAGGCCUCCGCAGGGAGAGGUACCGCUGGAUCAGGCGAGGGUGCCCGCAGGAGAGGCCUCCGCAGGGAGAGGUACCGCUGGAUCAGGCGAGGGUGCGCGCAGGAGAGGCCUCCGCAGGGAGAGGUACCGCUGGAUCAGGCGAGGGUGCGCGCAGGGGAGGCCUCCGCAGGGAGCGGUGCCGCUGGGCCAGGCACGGGUGCCCGCAGGAGAGGCCUCCGCAGGGAGAGGUGCCGCUGGGCCAGGCACGGGUGCCCGCAGGAGAGGCCUCCGCAGAUCUCUGAUGAUGUGCUAACUAAAUUAGAUAAAUCCCCGUCAUGUCUCAUUCAUGUCUCAGGCCUCAGCUGGGUCUCACGUCUCAUUUGGAGCAUCACUGACGCCUCUCUUAAGUUCUCUAUUAAGGAGCCAUUUCAAGUAUUUACAGGGAAGCCUCUGGACUGGGUGAUAUCAUGUGACCAAUGGCACACAAUUCAGUGCCCAGAAUGAACAGGACACAGGAAACUAAUGAAGACAACGGGGAGAUGGAGGAAGGAACCAGAGAUGUUCAAAGACUAGAUCGUGGGUCAGAUGGUAAUGACUCUAACCUAAGGCAGGGAUGAUGGCAGAAAGAUGCCUUCACAGGACAAACUGAGCCUAGCGCUCAACACCCCCACCUGGGGAAAGUGACACCUGCAUGGGAACUUAUCCAUGGGUACCACCAGACCCAAAGGACCUCUAUCUUCAAGUAAACCCUACGCUCCCCAAGCAGACAGUGUCAUUUCGGUGAAUGUCCUAACAGCAAAACAAAUUUCUUCUCCGGGGAAUGGUCUUCACAAAUUAUUGCCCAGAGAGUGAAUAAUUCUUCUCUAGUCAGUGGCUAACAGGGAAAUUAUCUAUGUGCCUCUGGACUUGUUCUUGUAUCACAGUGAAUAAACUGGUCCAACCCAAACUGACACAUCCACAAACUCCCUUUGUGAUCCUAGGUAAGAUUUUAGAUGGCAUUUGUCAAUGUAAAAAAUAAAAAUAAAGAACAUAAUGUAAUCAAGUUGCUUUCACACACAACCUAGUUGGUUUUGGCCAAUUAGGAUAUUGGUAGGCUCCUUCAUUGAGCCCAGACCAGAGUACCAUCAGUCCCAGGACUCUAAAAGCCAUCUGUCUUAGUCCCUUUUGUGUUGCUAUAACACAGUAUCUGAGGCAGGGUAAUCUGCAAAGAGAAGAGGUAUUUAAUUCAUGAUUCUAGUGUCUGCGAAGUCCAAGAGCAUGGUGCCCAUGGCUUCUGGUGGGAGCCUUGUGCUGUCUCACAACAUGGUAGAGAAGUAGGAGGGGAAGUGGGCCUUGUGAAAGAGAAGCCAAACAGGAGAGGUGGCCUCACUUUAUAAAAUCCACCUUCUUGGAAAGCAACCCAUUCCCAGGAGAACUCACUCCUGAGAGAUGGCAUUUAAUCUCUCCAUGAGGGUCCCUCGUGGACCAAACACCUCCCACCACUCAACACCAUUACACUGGGGACCAAGCCUCAGUGAGUUUUGGUGAGGACCAACCAUACCAAACCAUAGCACCACUGGAACAACAAGAUUGAGAAUGGCUAUCACAACAUGGAAAUCCUAACCCAUUUUCCUAGAAAUAUACUCUCUCAUUCAUCCCAAUAGCUCUGCAGUCCCCACAACCUCUACUUAUCGUCCUCUGACCCACAACCCC
rnacentral:lncRNA from 1 species